GACGAACGCUGGCGGUGUGCCUCACACAUGCAAGUCGAGCGGAUUUACUUAGGAGCUUGCUCUUAAGUAAGUUAGCGGCGGACGGGUGAGUAAUGCGUAGGAAUCUACCCUAAGGUAGGGGAUAACGGGCUGAAAGGUCCGCUAAUACCCCAUAUGCGGGUUCUCUUCGGAGGAUUCGUGAAAGGAGCAAUUCGCCUUUGGAUGAGCCUGCGUCCGAUUAGCUAGUUGGUAAGGUAAAAGCUACCAAGGCUUCGAUCGGUAGUUGGUCUGAGAGGAUGAUCAGCCACAAUGGGACUGAGACACGGCCCAUACUCCUACGGGAGGCAGCAGUGGGGAAUUUUACGCAAUGGGCGAAAGCCUGACGUAGCGACACCGCGUGAGCGAAGAAGUCCUUUU
rnacentral:rRNA from 1 species